ensembl:snRNA U6 U6 spliceosomal RNA
GUGCUUGCUUUGGCAGCACAUAUACUAAAAUUGGAACGAUAGAAGAUUAGCAUGGUCCCUACACAAGGAUGACACGUAAAUUUGUGAAGCGUUCCAUAUUUGU